GAUGAAGAACGCAGUGAAAUGCGAUAAGUAAUGCGAAUUGCAGAAUUUCCGUGAGUCAUCGAAUCUUUGAACGCACAUUGCGCCCCCUGGUAUUCCGGGGGGCAUGCCUGUCCGAGCGUCAUUGCUGCCCUCAAGCACGGCUUGUGUGUUGGGCCCCGUCCUCCGAUCCCGGGGGACGGGCCCGAAAGGCAGCGGCGGCACCGCGUCCGGUCCUCGAGCGUAUGGGGCUUUGUCACCCGCUCUGUAGGCCCGGCCGGCGCUUGCCGAUCAACCCAAAUUUUUAUCCAGGUUGACCUCGGAUCAGGUAGGGAUACCCGCUGAACUUAAGCAUAUCAAUAAGCGGAGGA
rnacentral:misc_RNA from 1 species